rnacentral:misc_RNA from 1 species
UCCGGCUUGUCACCGGCGGUUUCUUCAGAGUGCCCGGCCUGACCCGGGGGCAACUGAAGAUGAGGGUUGCGCUCGUUGCGGGACUUAACCCAACAUCUCACGACACGAGCUGACGACAGCCAUGCAGCACCUGUGUUCUCGCCGGCCGAACCGAAGGAUCUGAUCUCUCAGACCCAUACGAGACAUGUCAAGGACUGGUAAGGUUCUUCGCGUUGCGUCGAAUUAAACCACAUACUCCACCGCUUGUGCGGGCCCCCGUCAAUUCAUUUGAGUUUCAACCUUGCGGCCGUACUCCCCAGGCGGCAUGCUUAGUGCGUUAGCUGCGACACUGUCCCCCUGAGGGGGUCAACGUCUAGCAUGCAUCGUUUACGGCGUGGACUAC